rnacentral:rRNA from 1 species
CCUACGGGUGGCAGCAGUGAGGAAUAUUGGUCAAUGGACGAGAGUCUGAACCAGCCAAGUAGCGUGAAGGAUGAAGGCCCUAUGGGUUGUAAACUUCUUUUAUAAGGGAAUAAAAUGCUGCACGUGUGGGAUUUUGUAUGUACCAUAUGAAUAAGGAUCGGCUAACUCCGUGCCAGCAGCCGCGGUAAUACGGAGGAUCCGAGCGUUAUCCGGAUUUAUUGGGUUUAAAGGGUGCGUAGGUGGAUUGUUAAGUCAGUUGUGAAAGUUUGCGGCUCAACCGUAAAAUUGCCGUUGAAACUGGCAGUCUUGAGUACAUUUGAGGUAGGCGGACUGCGUGGUGUAGCGGUGAAAUGCUUAGAUAUCACGCAGAACUCCGAUUGCGAAGGCAGCUCACUGGACUGCAACUGACACUGAGGCUCGAAAGUGUGGGUAUCAAACAGGAUUAGAUACCCUUGUAGUC